rnacentral:misc_RNA from 1 species
GAUGAAGAACGUAGCGAAAUGCGAUAAGUAAUGUGAAUUGCAGAAUUCAGUGAAUCAUCGAAUCUUUGAACGCACAUUGCGCCCGCCAGUAUUCUGGCGGGCAUGCCUGUUCGAGCGUCAUUUCAACCCUCAAGCCCUGCUUGGUGUUGGGGAUCGGCGUUGCCUCCUCCGUCGUUCGCGGCGGGGUGAGGUCGCCGCCCCCGAAAUGAAUUGGCGGUCUCGUCGCAGCUUUCCUUUGCGUAGUAACAUACCACCUCGCAACCAGGAGCGCGGCGCGGCCACUGCCGUAAAACGCCCAACUUUUUCAAGAGUUGACCUCGAAUCAGGUAGGAAUACCCGCUGAACUUAAGCAUAUCAAUAAGCGGAGGA